rnacentral:rRNA from 1 species
AUUGAACGCUGGCGGCACGCCUUACACAUGCAAGUCGAACGGUAACAGGUCUUCGGAUGCUGACGAGUGGCGAACGGGUGAGUAAUACAUCGGAACGUGCCUAGUAGUGGGGGAUAACUACUCGAAAGAGUGGCUAAUACCGCAUGAGAUCUACGGAUGAAAGCAGGGGAUCGCAAGACCUUGUGCUACUAGAGCGGCCGAUGGCAGAUUAGGUAGUUGGUGGGAUAAAAGCUUACCAAGCCGACGAUCUGUAGCUGGUCUGAGAGGACGAUCAGCCACACUGGGACUGAGAAACGGCCCAGACUCCUACGGGAGGCAGCAGUGGGGAAUUUUGGACAAUGGGCGCAAGCCUGAUCCAGCAAUGCCGCGUGCAGGAUGAAGGCCUUCGGGUUGUAAACUGCUUUUGUACGGAACGAAAAGCCCUGGGUUAAUACCCUGGGGUCAUGACGGUACCGUAAGAAUAAGCACCGGCUAACUACGUGCCAGCAGCCGCCGUAA